rnacentral:misc_RNA from 1 species
AACGCACAUUGCACUCUAUUUCGGUAGAGUAUGCCUGUUUGAGAAUCUAAAGUAUUUAUUUACGGUUUGUACUUUUAUUAGGACAGCCGUAAGAUAUGAACCUUCCUCUACUUUGGUAGUAGGUGGUUUGAAAUUAAUAGCCGGUUAACCUUUGCUAAUGCCUGAUGCCUUGCAAAGUCGACUGAAAAGUAUUUGAAUGGAACUUCGGUUCUUUAAUAGUGCUGAAUAAGCGAUCGUAGGGAGUAGUUAGUAUUGGAGAGCUAGUCCAUAAACAUAAAGAAUAGGUGUAACACCCUACUCUUGAACCAUGGUCUCAAAUCAGGUAGGAAUACCCGCUGAACUUAA